GAUGAACGCUGGCGGCGUGCCUAACACAUGCAAGUCGAACGGGGAUAGGAUGAAACCUAGUGAUUCCUAUUCUAGUGGCGGACGGGUGAGUAACGCGUGGAUAACCUGCCUUGUACAGGGGGAUAACACCUGGAAACAGGUGCUAAGACCGCAUAAGCGCACAGACCCGCAUGGGACAGUGUGAAAAACUCCGGUGGUACAAGAUGGAUCCGCGUCUGAUUAGCCAGUUGGCGGGGUAACGGCCCACCAAAGCGACGAUCAGUAGCCGGCCUGAGAGGGUGAACGGCCACAUUGGGACUGAGACACGGCCCAA
rnacentral:rRNA from 1 species